ACCCAAAAAUAUUUUUUUAAAUUGUUUUAUGUGGACUUUGCUACACUGGAUUUCUUCCUGCUUGUUUUUUUGUUUGCCUUUUUAUUUUUCCCAUAGGUGAAGAGGAUGUGGAAGAUAGACCAUACAUGGAAAUCUGUGAAUCCUAUGCUGGCAUCUGUAUGAAGGAUCAUUUUGUGGGAGGGCCUGUUACAUCAUUUCCAUGAUCUGCUCUCACUUUCCACUGCAAUGGCUGUAUGGGAAAUGCAUCUGCUUCUACAACUGAGCUUUAACGAGCACCAGUCCUCUUCUGCUACAAGGAACCUGUAAAGAGCAACAGCAAUUAAGGAGGGGGGAAAGAAGUUGAAACAGUAAUUCCAAGUGGUUUUCUCCUCAGGACUUCUGGAUCUCACCACUGACUUUCUAGCAGCCAGGCAAAGGCAGGAAGGACAUCUGCUAAUAUCCAAGCAGGCUCUUCCAGGACAAGUUCUGGUUUGCCACAGUGAGGAUGGAAGACUCCCCAUUGGCUUCCCCUUUCUUUUAAAUAAGAUGGCUGCAUCCACUACAAUCUCCAGCCCCCUCACUGCCUUGCUGCAGAGCUAUCUAACAUCAAGGUAUGAGCAAGAAACCCUUGGAGAUGCCCCCUGGAAAUCUUAGAGAGCUGCAUGAAUCCUCCUCCUCUCUGCAGAUCGAGACCUCAUCCAAGGAAAUUCCAAGGAACUUUUCUGAGGUGAGAGCAACCUCAGCUGCUCUUUUGCUGGCAGGCACCAUCACCUGGGCUGAUUCCAGAGCUGGGGAAUCACAGCUCCUAGUCCCAGGAGAAAGCCCCCAACACCCUAAAGCACUCUGGAUGAGGAAUCCCGUCUCUCUUUUAUUCUGAUUUUGUGGGGGAAAUAAUUAGGCUACAGGGACAGCUGAGAAGGAUUUUUACUUCUAGUUGCAAGUAUCAAUGUAGGUGCUUCAACUUCACCUGAACUGCUCUGUGGGUGCAUGACUGGGUUAUUUGUCCAUGUGCUGACAUGUAGGUUUGCUUAUUCAUACUCUCCCUCCUUCUGUUGUGUUUUUUCUGCUCUGUGUGCAAACAUGAAUAAAGCAGCGAGGUGGCUGAAGGGAGACAAGGCCCCCAAGUUUUAAUCUCUGUUCCAUCACAAAUUCAAUGUUUGUCCUUGAGAAACUCAUGGUAAUUUCUCUUAUGUUCUUCAGAAUUACUUCUGCUGUAUAGAAUUUAGUAAAUAAGUGCCCAGCAAACACGCUUGGAUCAAACAGUUCCAGGACAGACAGUGCCCUUCAUCAUUUCC